rnacentral:misc_RNA from 1 species
GUCACCUGUGAUCAUUUUGAUGUUCACUCCAGCAUGUCGACAAUCUUCAAUAGCUUUCUUCACGCCAGGUCUACAUGGGUCCUUUAUACCUACCAGUCCUAGGAGGGUCAAGUUGUCCUCUAUGAGCUUGCUCUCUUGUAUUCCAUUUUCACAAUGGUUUUGUGAUAUUUGUUUAUGUGCAAAUGCAAUGCAACGAAGGCUGCCAGCCGCCAUGCCUUGAAUUAUUUGCUUGAAAAU